UCACCCAGGCUGUGUACACAAGAAGGGUU
rnacentral:piRNA from 2 species